rnacentral:rRNA from 1 species
AGCUCCAAUAGCGUAUAUUAAAGUUGUUGCAGUUAAAAAGCUCGUAGUUGAACUUUAGGCAAGGCGGCCUGGUCACCCACUGGGUGUACUGGGCUCGCCGCGCCUCACCUUCGGGGAACUAGCUGUGCUUCGGUGCACUAGGGAACCGAGCCUUACUUUGAAGAAAUUAGAGUGUUUAAAGCAGGCUUACGCUUGAAUACGCCAGCAUGGAAUAACAAGAUAGGACUUUGGUUCUAUUUUGUUGGUUUGAGGACCAAAGUAAUGAUUAAUAGGGCCAGUCGGGGGCAUUAGUAUUCUAUAGUCAGAGGUGAAAUUCUUGGAUUUAUAGAAGACUAACUAAUGCGAAAGCAUUUGCCAAGGAUGUUUUCA